AUACGAAGGGUGCAAGCGUUAAUCGGAAUUACUGGGCGUAAAGCGCGCGUAGGUGGUUCGUUAAGUUGGAUGUGAAAGCCCCGGGCUCAACCUGGGAACUGCAUCCAAAACUGGCGAGCUAGAGUAUAGCAGAGGGUGGUGGAAUUUCCUGUGUAGCGGUGAAAUGCGUAGAUAUAGGAAGGAACACCAGUGGCGAAGGCGACCACCUGGGCAAAUAAGGACACUGAGGUGCGAAAGCGUGGGGAGAAAACAGGAUUAGAUACCCGGGUAGUCCACGCCGUAAACGAUGUCGACUAGCCGUUGGGAUCCUUGAGAUCUUAGUGGCGCAGCUAACGCAUUAAGUCGACCGCCUGGGGAGUACGGCCGCAAGGUUAAAACUCAAAUGAAUUGACGGGG
rnacentral:rRNA from 1 species